rnacentral:rRNA from 1 species
AACGAACGCUGGCGGCAUGCCUAACACAUGCAAGUCGAACGAGACCUUCGGGUCUAGUGGCGCACGGGUGCGUAACGCGUGGGAACCUGCCCUUAGGUUCGGAAUAACUCCCCGAAAGGGGUGCUAAUACCGGAUAAUGUCUUCGGACCAAAGAUUUAUCGCCUUUGGAUGGGCCCGCGUUGGAUUAGCUAGUUGGUAGGGUAAAAGCCUACCAAGGCGACGAUCCAUAGCUGGUCUGAGAGGAUGAUCAGCCACACUGGGACUGAGACACGGCCCAGACUCCUACGGGAGGCAGCAGUGGGGAAUAUUGGACAAUGGGCGAAAGCCUGAUCCAGCAAUGCCGCGUGAGUGAUGAAGGCCUUAGGGUUGUAAAGCUCUUUUACCCGGGAUGAUGAUGACAGUACCGGGAGAAUAAGCACCGGCUAACUCCGUG